AUGAAAAACAAUAAGGCUCCCGGACCGGAUGGGUUUCCGGCUGAGUUCUAUAAAAAGUGCUGGCACAUUAUUAAGGGGGAUCUGCUACCUAUGUUUACCGAUCUUUUCUCGGGACAGCUACAACUGUUUCACUUGAAUUUCGGAACCAUCACAUUACUCCCUAAGAGAACGGAGGCUGUGCGCAUUGAGCAGUUCAGGCCGAUUUGCCUACUCAAUGUUAGUUUCAAAAUAUUCACCAAGGUCGGGACGAACAGGCUCUCACAGAUUGCGCUUUCUGUGGUGCAACAGUCUCAAACUGCUUUUAUGCCGGAUAGAAACAUCCUUGAAGGGGUGGUUGUCCUGCAUGAAACGCUCCAUGAAAUUCAUUCUAAAAAAUUAGAUGGAGUAAUUUUUAAGGUGGAUUUCGAAAAGGCGUAUGAUAAGGUUAAGUGGCCAUUCCUGCAGCAGGCAUUGCGUAUGAAAGGUUUUGAUGAUGCCUGGCGCCAUCAGGUGGAAUCUUUUACGCAAAAAGGGAGUGUUGGUAUUAAAGUAAAUGACGAUAUAGGUCAUUACUUCCAAACUCACAAGGGCCUCAGGCAAGGAGAUCCAAUGUCCCCUAUCUUGUUUAACAUCGUGGUGGAUAUGUUAGCAAUUUUGAUAGGAAGGGCGAAGGACAAUGGACAAGUGGGUGGCCUAGUACCUCAUCUGGUUGAUGGAUGUGUAUCUAUUCUUCAAUACGCUGAUGAUACAAUACUCUUUAUGGAGCACGAUUUGGCCAAGGCGAGAAAUAUGAAGUUGUUACUAUGCCUCUUUGAACAAUUAUCGGGGUUGAAGAUCAAUUUCCAUAAGAGCGAGUUGUUCUGCUUUGGGAGAGCCAAAGACGAACAAGAGUCUUAUAGGCAAUUGUUUGGGUGCGAGUUGGGAAGUUUACCUUUCUCCUACCUUGGCAUUCCGAUACAUCAUCGUAGGCUAACUAACAAAGAGUGGAAGUGUGUCGAGGAUCGAUUUGAGAAGAAACUGAGCUGCUGGAAGGGUAAGCUCAUGUCAUACGGAGGCCGGUUAAUCUUGAUUAACUCGGUGCUCACAAGUAUGCCUAUGUUCCUCUUAUCUUUCUUUGAAGUUCCAGUGGGUGUUAGGAAAAGACUGGACUUUUAUCGAUCACGUUUCUUUUGGCAGGGUGAUGAGCACAAAAGAAAAUACCGGCUUGCUAAGUGGGAUAUUAUCUGUCGACCCAAAGACCAAGGUGGGCUUGGUAUUGAGAAUUUAAAGGUUAAGAACAGAUGCCUUCUUAGUAAGUGGUUGUGGAAGCUCGUGUCCGGUACUGAAGCAAUGUGGGCGCAAAUCAUUCGCAGCAAGUACCUCCAGACUAGAACGUUAUCGCAGGUAUCAGUUAGGCCGACUGAUUCGCCUUUCUGGAAGGGACUAAUGAAAGUCAAAGUAUUACUGUUUAAUAGGACAAAAGUGGUCCUUGGAAAUGGUGCUACUACACGUUUCUGGGAGGAUUCUUGGCUGGGUGACUCGCCCUUGGCUAUGCAGUAUCCUUCUUUAUAUCGUAUUGCGCAACGACGAGAGGUGUUCGUGGCAACGGUAUUUCAAACUAUCCCCCUUAAUAUUCAGUUUAGACGGUCGUUAGUGGGCAAUCGUUGGGAGGUUUGGCUCCAGUUAGUAAGGAGACUAAUGGAGGUCCAACUCUCUGACCAACCUGAUGUAUUACGCUGGAAGUUGACCAAGAAUGGGGUAUUUACAGUGAGGUCAAUGUAUCUUGAUGUUAUUAACUCAAGUUCUAUUCCAACGUCCAAAAAGGUAUGGGAUGUUAAAGUUCCUUUGAAAAUAAAAGUAUUUAUGUGGUUUGUGCAUAAACAAGUCAUUCUCACAAAGGACAAAUUGAUAAAGCGUAAUUGGACAGGACCUACUAGGUGUAGUUUCUGUGAUCGAGAUGAGACAAUUAAACAUCUCUUUUUUGAUUGCCCGCUAGCUAAGGUUCUAUGGCAGACGGUGCAUAUUGCCUUUAAUAUUACUCCACCCACCACGGUUACCGCUUUAUUUGGGUCUUGGCUUAAUGGGAUUGAUUCUGCAUUAGCAAGGCAUAUUCGGGUGGGAGUUUGUGCGUUGAUGUGGACCAUCUGGUUGUGCAGAAAUGAUUUGGUUUUUAACAGAACACCACGAAUUCAUUUUUUGCAGGUUCUAUUCCGAGCUACGGCUUUGAUCCGUUUGUGGUCGUCACUCACUCCGAUGGAGGCCAGGGAGUAUUUGGUUACUGGGUCUACCCGAUGGGAGAUGGCUGCUCGGGUUAUCUUCAACCGGUUUGGAUGA
rnacentral:rRNA from 1 species